rnacentral:misc_RNA from 1 species
UCUCCGUAGGUGAACCUGCGGAGGGAUCAUUACAGAGUCCUCGCCCUUACCGGUAGUUCACCCACCCACUGUUAUCGUUACAGUCGUUUCUUUGGCGGGCCGCCGGGUCCCCCGGCUGUUGGCGUUUAAUAGGCUGCGAGCGCCCGUCAGAGGCACUCAAACUCUGCAAGUUAGUGUAGUCUGAGUACCAUCUACUAGUUAAAACUUUCAACAACGGAUCUCUUGGUUCUG